UGGAGUAUAAUGAUCUAGAAAUGCCAUGUGUGACAUGCCACUUUCAAAUAGCAAAGUUGGUCCUUCAAAUAGACACAGGCAGUCAGACAAAUAUCGGUGUUUUGUCUAUAAUUCCUGAGAACAUCACCAAUGAAAUACGUCUAACAUUUCAAAUCAUUUUCCACUUUUCCUAAUGUUUAAAAAUCUACGGCUCCUCAGG
rnacentral:lncRNA from 1 species